rnacentral:rRNA from 1 species
GCUCCAAUAGCGUAUAUUAAAGUUGUUGCAGUUAAAAAGCUCGUAGUUGAAUUUCGGGCCUGGCUAUGGACUUGGUCACUUCCUCACGGAGGUGUACUGUCUUUUUUUGUCAGGUCUUUACCUUCUGGGGAACCAUGAUGUCUUUAAACGGGUGUUAUGGGGGAUCCAGGACUUUUUACUUUGAAAAAAUUAGAGUGUUU